CGAACGGCUGCUAAUACCGAAUACGAUCUUUUCGUCGCAUGACGAAAAAGAAGAAAAGGAAUGGCCUCUAUACAAAGCUAUCGCCGAAGGAGGGGUUUUGCGUCUGAUUAGCUGGUUGGAGGGGUAACGGCCCAACAAGGCGAUGAUCAGUAGCCGGUCUGAGAGGAUGAACGGCCACAUUGGGACUGAGACACGGCCCAGACUCCUACGGGAGGCAGCAGUGGGGAAUCUUCCGCAAUGGACGAAAGUCUGACGGAGCAACGCCGCGUGAGUGAAGAAGGUCUUCGGAUUGUAAAGCUCUGUUAUACGGGACGAAAAAGACGGAUGCCAACAGUAUCCGUCCGUGACGGUACCGUAAGAGAAAGCCACGGCUAACUACGUGCCAGCAGCCGCGGUAAAU
rnacentral:rRNA from 1 species